AUUGAACGCUGGCGGCAGGCCUAACACAUGCAAGUCGAACGAGUGGCGGACGGGUGAGUACUGUCUGGGAAACUGCCCGAUGGAGGGGGAUAACUACUGGAAACGGUAGCUAAUACCGCGUACCCUCGGAUGUGCCCAGAUGGGAAUAGCUGUUAGGUGAGGUAACGGCUCACCUAGGCGACGAUCCCUAGCUGGUCUGAGAGGAUGACCAGACAAACUGGAACUGAGACACGGUCCAGACGACUACGGGAGGCAGCAGUGGGGUAUAUUGCACAAUGGUCGCAAGCCUGAUGCAGCCAGGCCGCGGGUAUGAAGAAGGCCUUCGGGUUGUAAAGUACUUUCAGCGGGGAGGCGUUACCCGAAGAAGAAGCACCGGAUAACUCCGGGCCAGCAGCCGCGGUAAUAC
rnacentral:rRNA from 1 species